AGGACGAACGCUGGCGGCGUGCUUAACACAUGCAAGUCGAGCGACGCUCCUCCUUCGGGAGGAUGACGGAGCGGCGAACGGGUGAGUAACACGUGGGUAACCUGCCCCUAGCUCUGGGAUAACCCCGGGAAAUCGGGACUAAUACCGGAUAUGAAGUCGGACGGCAUCUUCUGACUUGGAAAGUUUUUCGGCUAGGGAUGGGCCCGCGGCCUAUCAGCUUGUUGGUGGGGUAACGGCCUACCAAGGCGACGACGGGUAGCCGGCCUGAGAGGGCGACCGGCCACACUGGGACUGAGACACGGCCCAGACUCCUACGGGAGGCAGCAGUGGGGAAUAUUGCACAAUGGGCGAAAGCCUGAUGCAGCGACGCCGCGUGAGGGAUGACUGCCUUCGGGUUGUAAACCUCUUUCAGCAGGGACGAAGCGAAAGUGACGGUACCUGCAGAAGAAGCACCGGCCAACUACGUGCCAGCAGCCGC
rnacentral:rRNA from 1 species